AGUGAACGCUGGCGGUAGGCCUAACACAUGCAAGUCGAACGGCAGCACAGUAAGGGCUUGCUCUUACGGGUGGCGAGUGGCGGACGGGUGAGGAAUACAUCGGAAUCUACUUUUUCGUGGGGGAUAACGUAGGGAAACUUACGCUAAUACCGCAUACGACCUACGGGUGAAAGCAGGGGAUCUUCGGACCUUGCGCGAUUGAAUGAGCCGAUGUCGGAUUAGCUAGUUGGCGGGGUAAAGGCCCACCAAGGCGACGAUCCGUAGCUGGUCUGAGAGGAUAAUCAGCCACACUGGAACUGAGACACGGUCCAGACUCCUACGGGAGGCAGCAGUGGGGAAUAUUGGACAAUGGGCGCAAGCCUGAUCCAGCCAUACCGCGUGGGUGAAGAAGGCCUUCGGGUUGUAAAGCCCUUUUGUUGGGAAAGAAAAGCAGCAGGUUAAUACCCCGCUGUUCUGACGGUACCCAAAGAAUAAGCACCGGCUAACUUCGUG
rnacentral:rRNA from 1 species